CAGUCAAGGAAGAAAAAUACUUUUUUUUUUUUCCCUAGGAAGUAUUUUAAAGAUUAGUAUUAAAUUACAGAAAAAAAAAAAAAAAAAAAAAAAGUAAUUCUAAUCAAAUCUGAAAGUUCAAAUUCUAAUUUAACUUAAAAACAAACAAACAAACAAACAAACAAACAAAACCAACCAAUAACAGAAUUGUGUCAUCCUUAUUUUCAGACUAGUUUAUCUCUCAGGAGGACUUUUACCAGUUGGUGUUUAUGAGCCACCUGGGCACUGGCAGUUGCUGAAACAAAGCAGCUGAUCUGCAUCUGUGGACAGGUGAAGGACCCUCAGCUGAGAUAACUGAAGUAAUUGAAGGAAAUAGGGAGACAACUAGACACACUGGAAGCCGUGCGGUAGGAUUUGGCCAACUAGCAGACUCAUUCAGUUGCACAAACACAAAGGAAGUACACAGGGCUGAAUCUUCUGUUUGUGGAUAAUCCAAGGAAUUCCACAGGUACCAGUGAUUCACCUGAAAGAAUUGUGACCCCACUGUAUUUCGUCUUCUGUUGCAAGUCAUCUGCUUCCUGAUAAGUCUAGGAGAACCAUACAAAAGAAAUUCUCUGGUCAGUAUUUAGAAGAAAGAAUGUGCGUGAUGAUGACUCAGUGUGCU
rnacentral:lncRNA from 1 species